rnacentral:rRNA from 1 species
AGCGGCCAGAGCCCAAGAUGGUAAUCUCCAUGCUGCGCAUGGGCGAAUUGUAAUCUAGAGAGUUCAUGCUCAAACGGAGGUGGCGUCGAAGUAGCUGGAAUGCUACGCCAGAGAGGGUGACAGCCCCGUAUGUGGUGCCGCCUCCAAACGAGCAGGGCUUCGAAGAGUCGGGUUGUUUUGUAUUGCAGCCCUAAGUGGGAGAUAAACUUCUUCUAAGGCUAAAUAUAUGUGGGAAACCGAUAGCGAACAAGUACUGUGAAGGAAAGAUGAAAAGCACUUUGGAAAGAGAGUCAAAAGACCUGAAACCGUUGAGGAGGAAGCGGUAGAGAUGAAUUCUACGGCAGUUAGCGGGGAAACCAGCCUAAAGAUGUGGGGCGUAGGAUACGUCAAAGGUCCUUGUUCUAUUUUCUGGAAGCUGGCUAUUUGCUGAGUGUCGUGAGGCCGGAUGGGGUGACGUGACCGCAGAGGCCUAGCAGGCUUGGACCUUUCGGGGUCAGCCUGCUGGUGUCGGUGGCUGCGUGGCCUGAGGGUGCCUUGUGCGAUCCGGUCAAAAUGGUCUUUACCGACUCGUCUUGAAACACGAACCAAGGAGUCUAACGUACACGCGAGUGUGCCGGUGGAGAAACCGUCACGCGGAAUGAAAGUGAGUGAUGCCAAGCGCAAGCAGCAGCAUCGGCCGACCAUGAUCCUCUGGAGAAAGGUUUGAGUAUGAGCGUGUCCGCUAGGACCCGAAAGAUGGUGAACUAUGCCUGCGUAGGGUGAAGCCAGGG